CGGGGGAAGACAGGGACCUCAUCUCGCCCCCUGUCUCUUUUCCUCGGCCUUAUCUCGCGGGAACUAGAAAGGAGGGACCACCGAGUUGUGGGGUCCUCCAAGAUUACUAGAGAGAAGCUCAGGGAAGGUAUGGGUUGGUGGCCUCAGGAAAUCGGUCUGUGAUCGCUAUUCACUUCACUCUCCUGGCCUGGUGUAGACCCAAUCUGGAAGCUUAUUCCUAUCCGUAGAGCGAUCAAAGUUUUGAGAGUACUAAAAUGGUUGUUUAUUUCCCGCAGGAUGGAGGCUUCUUAGUCCACAAAUUGGAGAACGUGGAGUCCUGGAUUUGGAUUGGCCUAUGUGAAUGUUUAAUCUAAGAAUCUCCUGAUGAGUCAUACCCAUCAAGCACCUUAUAUGUGUCCAGUGUUUAGCAUAUAAUUUCCUAUGCACAGUAUUGGAGAUAGGGAGAGAUUGGUUGACCUAGUUCUCUACACGUCCUUUGUUUCACUCUUCUCAUUCCGUUCUCUUAACUUUUACUCACUGUCAUCACGUAAUCGUUAAGGUUCGUAAUCAAUCAGGUUAAACCUUUGGUCCCAGCCAUUAGUGGAGUGUGUUGGGUUGUAAUUUGUUCUCCAUCCAGACUUGUUACUUCUGCUUCACCCCCAGAGCUGUGCUUUUCCCCGUAGGAAAGUAGGCAGGGGUGAUUGUGUUUUGUAGGGUGGCCUCUGUUCCCGUUCUCCUUCCAGAUGAGUUGCUUUUCACAGAUUGUCAGUUGUGCAGAUCAGACCUUUUUACUUAAGUCCGUUUAGUAUGUCAAUAUUAUUAAGUAUCCACUUUAAAGGACAUUUAUGAUGAAGAUAUGAUGACAGUAUGAUUUAAGAGAAUUAGAGUACACAACUACAAGGGGUACCUCUUUACUCAGUAUGAAUCACUGCUUUUGUUACUCUUGGACAGAAACUGUCUAUGAAUUUAGCAACAUUACUUGUGUAGGUUUGCGUUGUGUUUUUUUUUUAAAGUCCUUCUGUUUACACUUGUAACUACUCUUUUUCCUUAUUGGAAUCCCUGUAACUGCCAAGAUGUGGUUUUUAGCUUCUGACAGCUCUGUUUCCCUGACAGCCUCAGCUUCCUCUACCAAACUGGACGGCUUUCUGGAUUCACUAAGGAGGGUUAAUGGAGGAAAGGGCAGUGUACUGACUAUAUGAAGUCUUUUGUCGGAUGCUCUUGCAGUACCCUGAGACUUAACAGCAAACUGCUGAUAUGGAGUUGAAUUGGAAGUUGUGGGUUUUUUUGUUUGUUUUUUUUUU
rnacentral:lncRNA from 1 species